UACGUAGGCAGCGAGCGUUGUUCGGAAUUACUGGGCGUAAAGAGUGUGUAGGCGGUGCUCUAAGUUCGGUGUGAAAUCUCCUGGCUCAACUGGGAGGGUGCGCCGGAAACUGGAGUGCUUGAGCGUGGGAGAGGAAAGCGGAAUUCCUGGUGUAGCGGUGAAAUGCGUAGAUAUCAGGAGGAACACCUGUGGUAUAGACGGCUUUCUGGACCAUAGCUGACGCUGAGACACGAAAGCGUGGGUAGCAAACAGG
rnacentral:rRNA from 1 species